ACCGGCAGCUCUAGUGGUAGCAAUUUUUAUUGGGCCUAAAGCGUCCGUAGCCGGUUUAAUAAGUCUCUGGUGAAAUCCUGCAGCUUAACUGUGGGAAUUGCUGGAGAUACUAUUAGACUUGAGACCGGGAGAGGUUGGAGGUACUCCCAGGGUAGAGGUGAAAUUCUGUAAUCCUGGGAGGACCGCCUGUUGCGAAGGCGUCUAACUGGAACGGUUCUGACGGUGAGGGACGAAAGUUAGGGGCGCGAACCGGAUUAGAUACCCGGGUAGUCCUAACUGUAAACGAUGCGGACUUGGUGUUGGGGUGGCUUUGAGCUGUCCCAGUGCCGAAGGGAAGCUGUUAAGUCCGCCGCCUGGGAAGUA
rnacentral:rRNA from 1 species